CACGUAGGCACCAAGCGUUGUCCGGAUUUAUUGGGCGUAAAGAGCUCGUAGGCGGUUCGGUAAGUCGGGUGUGAAAACUCUGGGCUCAACCCAGAGCCGCCACCCGAUACUGCUGUGACUUGAGUUCGGUAGGGGAGCGGGGAAUUCCUGGUGUAGCGGUGAAAUGCGUAGAUAUCAGGAGGAACACCGGUGGCGAAGGCGGCCCUCUGGACGGUGACUGACGCUGAGACGCGAAAGCGUGGGGAGCAAACAGG
rnacentral:rRNA from 1 species